UACAGAGACUGCGAGCGUUAUUCGGAUUCACUGGGCGUAAAGGGCGCGCAGGCGGCUACGCACGUCCGUUGUGAAAUCGCUCGGCUCAACUGGGCGGGGUCAGCGGAUACGGCGUAGCUGGAGCAAGCUAGGGGGCAAUGGAAUUCCCGGUGUAGUGGUGGAAUGCGUAGAUAUCGGGAGGAACACCAGUGGCGAAGGCGGUUGCCUGGAGCUUUGCUGACGCUGAGGCGCGAAAAGCGUGGGGAGCGAUCCGG
rnacentral:rRNA from 1 species